rnacentral:tRNA from 1 species
AAUAACAUGCCAGAUAAAAUGGACUAUCGUGAUAAGAUAGAAUAUGGGGUUACACCUUGUUAUUA